CCUACGGGAGGCAGCAGUAGGGAAUUUUUCCGCAAUGGACGAAAGUCUGACGGAGCAACGCCCGCGUGAACGAUGAAGGCCUUCGGGUCGUAAAGUUCUGUUGUCAGGGAAGAACAAGUAUCGGAGUAACUGCCGGUACCUUGACGGUACCUGACCAGAAAGCCACGGCUAACUACGUGCCAGCAGCCGCGGUAAUACGUAGGUGGCAAGCGUUAUCCGGAAUUAUUGGGCGUAAAGCGCGCGCAGGCGGUCCUUUAAGUCUGAUGUGAAAGCCCACGGCUCAACCGUGGAGGGUCAUUGGAAACUGGGGGACUUGAGUGCAGAAGAGGAGAGCGGAAUUCCACGUGUAGCGGUGAAAUGCGUAGAGAUGUGGAGGAACACCAGUGGCGAAGGCGGCUCUCUGGUCUGUAACUGACGCUGAGGCGCGAAAGCGUGGGGAGCGAACAGGAUUAGAUACCCUGGUAGUCCACGCCGUAAACGAUGAGUGCUAAGUGUUAGAGGGUUUCCGCCCUUUAGUGCUGCAGCAAACGCAUUAAGCACUCCGCCUGGGGAGUACGGUCGCAAGACUGAAACUCAAAUGAAUUGACGGGG
rnacentral:rRNA from 1 species